AUUGACUGAGUGUAUUAAAUAUAUAGGUAUAUAUAAAUGUUUACUAUUAACCUCUAACAAAAAAUUUAAAUAGUAAAAAAAUUAUAUAUAAUAAUAUUAAUGAAGAGAGAGAAACUUAUAGAUCAACGAUUAAAUGUAGUUACACUGUAUAGUUUGCCAUAAACGCAAGUGUCUCUCUUAUUUUUAUUUCAGCUGAUGUAUGAAAGUAUGGGUAUCGAUAAGGAGUAGUUACCCUAAUAGUCCGUACUGUAAAAAAUGAAUACUUUAUGAUUUUUUUUGAAUCAGGAAUAGCUAACGCAAAAGUAUUCUACUUGGGAAGUAUUGUCGCAAGAUUAAAACUUAACUGAAUUGGCGGGAAUUUGUUCGAACGGUGGAACAUGUGGUUUAAUGCGAUAAUCCACGCAAAAUCUUACCAAUGUUUUAGGCUUUAUUAGUAGUAUAAUUAACAGUAUAACUAUAUAAUAGAGUUCGGAAUUGCAUGGCUGUCGUCAGUUCGUGCUGUAAAGUGUUGGAUUAAGUUCUUUUUAACGAAUGCAACCCUAUAGGUAAGUUUUUAUCAAUAUACAAACUGUUAGUAUAUUAUAUUUUUACCUAAUCUACAGCUCGGAUAUUUAAAAUCUAUUUUAUUUAUUUCGUCUGUAGGGGUUAUAGGCUGAAGUCAAGUCCCUAUGGUCUUUAUAUGUUGGGCUACACACGUGUUACAAGGGUAAAAACAAAGAGACGCAAUAGAGUAAUCUUUAGCAAACCUCUAAAAAUUACCUCAGUUCAGAUUGUUUUAUGAAAUUCUAAAACAUGAAGAUGAAAUCGUUAGUAAUUGUAAAUUACUAUGUUACAGUGAAAAAAAAGUCAAAUUUUGCACACACCGCCCAUCACGCUCGGAAAGUCGAUAGUAGUGGAAGAUUUGAAAGACUUUACAUGAAAAAAAAAUUAAAUAAUAUAUUUAAUUUUGUUAAUAUUAUGUUAUUAUUUAACGCUGUGAUUGAGAAGUAGUAUCCA
rnacentral:rRNA from 1 species